GUACUGAUGCAACCAUGGAAGGGGUGGAAGGGAAAAUAUUUGACGAUGGUUUUUUCUCCCAACCUGGCAAGGUAUUUUACUACCUAUAUUAAUUACUGGAAGGUGUGAUUUUGCUGGAAGGUUCUACUUGGUACUGAUUGUCAUACCUACACUGGGGGAUCCUUUGCCCAAUUUGCAACUGGAACGUGAAACAUUCGGAAGGUAUGCAAACAUGUAUCAUUGUUUCAUGGGAAAUGGUACAACCAUGGAACAAUAGUGCAUAUAUUGAGUGUUGUAUCAUAUUAGCACCCUUUCCAUUCUGGACACCUGCCUCUUUGUCAUAACGUGGAUAUAGUGUGAUGCCUAUGGGAAGAAGUGGUGCUUUGAUUUUUUAAAUUUUUUUUAGGAGCCCCCAACUAUCAGGUACUAAA